rnacentral:rRNA from 1 species
CGCGCAGGCGGUUUCUUAAGUCAGAUGUGAAAGCCCGGGGCUCAACCCCGGAAGUGCAUUUGAAACUAAGGAACUUGAGUAUGGGAGAGGGAAGUGGAAUUCCUGGUGUAGCGGUGAAAUGCGUAGAUAUCAGGAGGAACAACCGGUGGCGAAGGCGACUUCCUGGACCAAUACUGACGCUGAGGCGCGAAGGCGGUGGGGAGCGAAACA